rnacentral:rRNA from 1 species
GACGAACGCUGGCGGCGUGCUUAACACAUGCAAGUCGAACGAGUGGCGAACGGGUGAGUAACACGUGAGUAACCUGCCCCUUCUUCUGGAUAACUGCUUGAAAGGGUAGCUAAUACGGGAUAGUGGGGGAUGGGCUCGCGGCCUAUCAGCUUGUUGGUGGGGUGAUGGCCUACCAAGGCGGUGACGGGUAGCCGGCCUGUGAGGGUGGACGGCCACACUGGGCCGUAGCCACGGCCUAGACUCCUACGUGAGGCAGCAGUGGGGAAUAUUGCACAAUGGUCGCAAGCCUGAUGCAGCGGCGCCGCGUGAGGGAUGGAGGCCUUCGUGUUGUAAAACUCUUUCGCCAGUGAAGCGGUAGCUGGUUUAGAAGCGCCGGCUAACUACGUGCCAGCCGCCGCGGUAGUAC